rnacentral:ncRNA from 1 species
AAGAUGAGCUUAGGCGAAAGCAUUUACCAAGGAUGUUUUCAUUAAUCAAGAACGAAAGUUAGGGGAUCGAAGAUGAUUAGAUACCAUCGUAGUCUUAACCAUAAACUAUGCCGACUCGGGAUUGGCAGUCGUUUACUUUUAAUGACCUUGUCAGCACCGUAUGAGAAAUCAAAGUCUUUGGGUUCCGGGGGGAGUAUGGU